GACGGAGGAUGCAAGUGUUAUCCGGAAUCACUGGGCGUAAAGCGUCUGUAGGUGGUUUAAUAAGUCAACUGUUAAAUCUUGAGGCUCAACCUCAAAAUCGCAGUCGAAACUAUUAGGCUAGAGUAUAGUAGGGGUAAAGGGAAUUUCCAGUGGAGCGGUGAAAUGCGUAGAGAUUGGAAAGAACACCGAUGGCGAAGGCACUUUACUGGGCUAUUACUAACACUCAGAGACGAAAGCUAGGGUAACAAAUGGG
rnacentral:rRNA from 1 species